AAGUUGUGAUUAGGAUAUCUUCUGAGUAAUAGUUUGAAUAUCUCCCAUGUAUUAGAUAAGGACUCAACAUCACCUUGUUAAAAAUUUGAAAUCUCAACUCUUCUU